rnacentral:misc_RNA from 1 species
AAAAAACACUCUACAUGAAAAUAGCUCCUUUAAGUACAUGAACUAUGAGUUGGGGAUUAAGAAUAAAACACUCUACAUAUCUUGCAGGGUUCAUGUCACCUUUGGUUGGCAGUUACAAGAAAUAUACUUUUUGAAGUGACUGCUCAACUUACUGCAUUUUCUCCAGUUCAAUUUUGAUGUCAGUUUAUGAUUCUGUACUAUACAAUGGCAGAUUUUGAAUUGGUCAUUCCUUCCUAUAGAUGAUCUAAACUAGAUGUACUAUCAAAUGUGCCUAGUGCUAUGCUUUUAGGUUAACCCCUUGGAUGAUCUCCGCAAGAAUUCUGCCACCAGAUUUGAAAAUGCUGAAGAACUGUUCUUCAAUAACCGGUUAGGAGUAUCAAACUCAAGAAUGUUUCCUUCACCAAGAACUAAAACAAGAUCAUUAUCGAUUACUGUGGGUAUCCGAUGUGCCACUGUUAUAACUGUACAUCCAUUUGUUUCUUCUCUUAUAGUUUUCUGAAUGACAUUGUCCGUCUCUGUAUCCACUGAAGCAGUAGCUUCAUCAAGUACCAAUAUUCUCCUUUUCUGUAGCAAUACCCUAGCUAGGCACACAAUCUGCCUUUGACCCACGCUCAAGUUUUCUCCGUCUUCUGCAACUGGUGCAUCAAGAAGCCUUAGAUCCUGCUUUACAAUAUCAGCUAAAUGACAUUUUUGCAAGACCUCCCAGAUAUCCUGAUCUGUAUGUUGUUGUAAUGGAUCAAGAUUAGUCCUAAUUGUUCCUUGGAACAAAAUUGGAUCUUGUGGUAUUAUACUCAACUUAGACCUCAGGUCUUGCAAACCAAUCUUGGAAAUGUCUAUUCCAUCAAUAAGAAUGCAUCCCUCAGAUGGUUCGACAACCCUGAAGAGAGCUUGGAUCAAAGUAGACUUUCCACUUCCUGUUCUUCCAACCACACCAAUUUUCUUUCCCUCUGGAAAGGUACAGGUUAUACCCUUUAGAACUCUUGGGAGAUCAGGGCUGUAUUGUACAUGAAGAUCUUUAAUUUCAAUUCUUCCUUUUAGAGGCCAAUCGGGUUUUGGCCUGGACUUUUCAAUUAUCAGUGGAGCUUCACUAGGAACGUCGCUGAACUGAAGUAUUCUCUCAACUGAUAUCAUUUUGUUCUCGACAUUGCAAAGGUUCCAUAUAACCCAAGCUUGGAGAACAUUAAGAUUUAAGCCAUAGGUAGCUGCUAGUCCUGCUAAACUGGGGUCUAUAGCCUCUCGUGGAAGGUGUGCCAGGAUGACGAGAAGAAAGAAGAAUAUGAGAUUGAAGAGAAAGUUAAUUCGAACACAGAGCCAUUCCAUUGUAGCUGAGUUGUGAAAGACAACACGAGAAUAGUCAUCGAUGAGACUUAAAUUCUUCUUCAAGAAUCGGUCUUCCUGGUUAAAACAACGAAUUGUUGCUACACCGUUGAGAGAUUCAGAGAAAUGAUGUAGGAUUGGAGCUUUCUGAAUGCCAAUCAUCCUUGCCAGUUCUCUAGCAGUGGUAAUGUAAUAAGCCUGAUACCACAUGGAGAGGGCCAGUAUCAGAAGGAAGAGAAAAAAGAUCUGCCAGGCAACAUUGGACAUAAGGACAACAAUGCUCAAUAAUUGAAUAAGCGCAAAUGCCAGUCCAGCCAAUCUAUACGGAAUAUCUGUGUCCACGAUGCUUUGGUCCGUAGAAGACCUAUUGAGAAUUCUGCUGGAAGGAGUGGAGUCAAAGAAUGACAAGGGUGCUCGGAAGAUUGAUUUGAUCAUUCCAAUGUAGAGCUUCUGAGCAGUCUCAAUUGCGAUAGUUGAAAGCAUAACUGCUCUUCCUAAGAUGAAAAGAGAGCUUCCCCCUGACAUCAGAACGAAUAUUCCAAUUAAUCUCUCGCUAGUAACCCUUCCUUCUUCUUCUGUUCCCCAUGUAAUCCAGUAGUUGCUUGCCAUCUGCAGUCCCUGGAAGAAAACUUGGCAUAGAAGGACCGGAAGUACAAGGCCCCCUUUAUACGCCGAGGUCACAAAGGUCGAGUAGACUUUCCAUUUAACUCGACCUGAUACUGCAUCUUCCUGCUGAGUUCUUCCUAAGAUCCUGUUGUCACAGGUAAGAUCUUCAAAGCACUCUUCGACUUCAAUUUGGUUAUUCUGAUGCUUACCCUUGGUUAAGCAGCUGCACUUUUGGGAAGGGUUCACUUGAUCUAAUGAUUUACUGUGAGCCACCAUAUGCCUUAGUAGCUCACCAUCCGGAUCUGCAAUCAACUUGUUAUACUUUCCUGAUUGAACAAUUCUUCCGUCCUUCAUUACCAGGAUGAGGUCAGAAGUAUCUAAAAAUUCCAACUGGUGAGUGGCAUAAACAACUGUUUUUUCUUGUAGAUGUUGGAUUAAGCAUUUCUUGAACAUAUGAGCUCCAGUUUGUGCAUCAACUGCACUGAAAGGGUCAUCCAGCAGAUAGAUGUCUGAAUCACUAUAAAUAGCUCUGGCCAACUGAAUUCUUUGCUUUUGUCCACCACUUAGGUUCAUUCCUCUUUCUCCUACCAAAUUUAGAUCUCCGUCAGCCCACAUCUCAAUGUCACGUUUUAAAGCACAUCGUUCCACGACAUCAUCAUAACGUGCUUUAUUCAUUUCCUUGCCAAACAGAACAUUGUCUCUAACAGUGCCCGUCUGAAUCCAAGCACUCUGUGGUACAAAUGCCUUUGAACCAUUUAUCUUAAUACUUGAUCCAGAAAUUCUAGGAAUCUCUCCCAUAAUACUACAGAGUAAACUUGACUUCCCUGAUCCUACUGAACCACAUAUUGCUACUUUCCACCCUUUAAUUAUCCUGAUUUUCUCUGUUAUCUUAAUUGUUGAUUUCUU